GAUGAACGCUGGCGGCGUGCCUAAUACAUGCAAGUCGAGCGAACAGACGAGAAGCUUGCUCCUCUGACGUUAGCGGCGGACGGGUGAGUAACACGUGGAUAACCUACCUAUAAGACUGGGAUAACUUCGGGAAACCGGAGCUAAUACCGGAUAAUAUAUUGAACCGCAUGGUUCAAGAGUGAAAGACGGUUUUGCUGUCACUUAUAGAUGGAUCCGCGCUGCAUUAGCUAGUUGGUAAGGUAACGGCUUACCAAGGCAACGAUGCGUAGCCGACCUGAGAGGGUGAUCGGCCACACUGGAACUGAGACACGGUCCAGACUCCUACGGGAGGCAGCAGUAGGGAAUCUUCCGCAAUGGGCGAAAGCCUGACGGAGCAACGCCGCGUGAGUGAUGAAGGUCUUCGGAUCGUAAAACUCUGUUAUUAGGGAAGAACAAAUGUGUAAGUAACUAUGCACGUCUUGACGGUACCUAAUCAGAAAGCCACGGCUAACUACGUG
rnacentral:rRNA from 1 species